GAUGAAGAACGCAGCGAAAUGCGAUAAGUAAUGUGAAUUGCAGAAUUCAGUGAAUCAUCGAAUCUUUGAACGCACAUUGCGCCCGCCAGUAUUCUGGCGGGCAUGCCUGUUCGAGCGUCAUUUCAACCAUCAAGCCCCCGGGCUUGUGUUGGGGACCUGCGGCUGCCGCAGGCCCUGAAAAGCAGUGGCGGGCUCGCUGUCACACCGAGCGUAGUAGAUUUUAUCUCGCUCUGGGCGUGCUGCGGGUUCCGGCCGUUAAACCACCCUUUUAACCCAAGGUUUACCUCGGAUCAGGUAGGAAGACCCGCUGAACUUAAGCAUAUCAAUAAGCGGAGGA
rnacentral:misc_RNA from 1 species